rnacentral:rRNA from 1 species
GACGAACGCUGGCGGCGUGCUUAACACAUGCAAGUCGAACGGAAAGACCCUGCUUUUGUGGGGUGCUCGAGUGGCGAGCGGGUGAGUAACACGUGAGUAACCUGCCCUUAACUUUGUGAUAACUUCAGGAAACUGGGGCUAAUACCGGAUAGGAGCUCCUGCUGCAUGGUGGGGGAUGGAAAGUUUCGGCGGUGGGGGAUGGACUCGCGGCUUAUCAGCUUGUUGGUGGGGUAGUGGCUUACCAAGGGUUUGACGGGUAGCCGGCCUGAGAGGGUGACCGGCCACAUGGGGACUGAGAGACGGCCCAGAAUCGUACGUGAGGCAGCAGUGGGGAAUAUUGCACAAUGGGCGGAAGCCUGAUGCAGCAACGCCGCGUGCGGGAUGACGGCCUUCUGGUUGUAAACCGCUUUCGCCGGUGACGAAGCGUGAGUGACGGUAAUGGGUAAAGAAGCAACGGCUAACUACGUG